UUUUAAUUUAUAUAAAACCCUGGUCACCCGUGAGGGCCCUUGAAAACUGGAAAUUGUGCCAGAAGAGAAACGGGAUUCCCCGGUACCGGGAAAUGCUAGGAAAUGGGGAACACCCCGGGCGAAGGGGGGUUUUUUGGUCAGUAAAUGACAAGUAGGGCCGAAAACCUGGGGGAGCAACAGGAUUUGUUACCCGGGUUUUCCCACCCCUUUAAACCAUGGGUCUUAAGGGUAAGGGGGUUUUCCCCCUUUAAUGCUGGCAAGUUUACGCCAUUAAAGCACUCCCCCCUGGGAAGUACGGGUCGCAAAGACUGAAACCCAAAGGAAAUGACGUGGGUCCCCCACAAACCGGUGGAGCAUUUGGGUUUUAUUCGAAGCCAACGGGGAAGAACCUUACCAGGUUCUUGACAUCCUUCUGACAACCUCUAGAGAUAGAGCGUUCCCCUUCGGGGGACAAGAAUGACAGGUGGUGCAUGGUUGUCGUCCAGCUCGUGUCGUGAGAUGUUGGGUUAAGUCCCGCAACGAGCGCAACCCUUGAUCUUUAGUUGCCAGCAUUUAGUUGGGCACUCUAAGGUGACUGCCGGUGACAAACCGGAGGAAGGUGGGGAUGACGUCAAAUCAUCAUGCCCCUUAUGACCUGGGCUACACACGUGCUACAAUGAUGGUACAAAGGGCUGCAAGACCGCGAGGCAACCNAAUCC
rnacentral:rRNA from 1 species